rnacentral:rRNA from 1 species
UACGUAGGGUGCAAGCGUUGUCCGGAAUUAUUGGGCGUAAAGAGCUCGUAGGCGGUUUGUCGCGUCGAAUGUGAAAACCCGGGGCUCAACCCCGGGCCUGCAUUCGAUACGGGCAGACUAGAGUUCGGUAGGGGAGUCUGGAAUUCCUGGUGUAGCGGUGAAAUGCAUAGAUAUCAGGAGGAACACCGGUGGCGAAGGCGGGACUCUGGGCCGAUACUGACGCUGAGGAGCGAAAGCGUGGGGAGCAAACAGG